GAUGAACGCUAGCGGCAGGCUUAACACAUGCAAGUCGAGGGGUACUAGGUUUUCGGAUCUAGAGACCGGCGCACGGGUGCGUAACGCGUAUGCAAUCUACCUUUCACAGAGGGAUAGCCCAGAGAAAUUUGGAUUAAUACCUCAUAGUAUUAUAGAAUGGCAUCAUUUUAUAAUUAAAGUCACAACGGUGAAAGAUGAGCAUGCGUCCCAUUAGCUAGUUGGUAUGGUAACGGCAUACCAAGGCAACGAUGGGUAGGGGUCCUGAGAGGGAGAUCCCCCACACUGGUACUGAGACACGGACCAGACUCCUACGGGAGGCAGCAGUGAGGAAUAUUGGUCAAUGGGCGCAAGCCUGAACCAGCCAUGCCGCGUGCAGGAUGACGGUCCUAUGGAUUGUAAACUGCUUUUGCACAGGAAGAAACAACGCUACGUGUAGCGUCUUGACGGUACUGUGAGAAUAAGGAUCGACUAACUCCGUGCC
rnacentral:rRNA from 1 species